rnacentral:rRNA from 1 species
UACGUAGGGUGCUAGCGUUAUCCGGAUUUACUGGGCGUAAAGCGAGCGCAGGCGGUUUCUUAAGUCUGAUGUGAAAGCCCCCGGCUCAACCGGGGAAGGUCAUUGGAAACUGGGGAACUUGAGUGCAGAAGAGGAAAGUGGAAUUCCAUGUGUAGCGGUGAAAUGCGCAGAGAUAUGGAGGAACACCAGUGGCGAAGGCGACUUUCUGGUCUGCAACUGACGCUGAUGUGCGAAAGCGUGGGGAUCAAACAGG